UUUAUGAUUUCUCACGAGCCUAGGGGUGAGCUGGUUGGUUCUUCUCUUCUUGGUUGGGGCCAGGACAAGGGUGGGGAGGAGGUGGGGGUGUCUGAGGACAAGGGGGCAUCCUGGAGUGGGCAGACUCUGGAGUCAUCAGGUAAUUUUGGGCCUCCCAGGGUGAAAAGAAGAAAGAGGACCUUCACCAGAGUCAGCAGGAGCUCCACUUCCACUCCCCUCAACGCACGGUCAAGACCAACUGUUGAGUGAGGUGAGGGAAUGGAGGAGAGGGCAUGCAGAGGGGUAGAGAGGCGUGGAAGAGACCCACAGACAAAGGGACGGGGCAGACAGAAGUCACUGGCAAGGAGAAAGUGAGAGGGUGAGGGUUCCGGUUGGAGGGUUGAGAAUAAAAGGAUAACGGGGUAAAGGAGGGGACGGAGCUUAGAUAUCUGGAAGGAUUUCCAGAUCCCAGGGCUAUUGGACCUUCUCUCUACAGGGCAUGGGAGAUAUGUUCCCCCAAGCCAUACACUAGCGGUGAGGUACAGUUGAGAGGACCUGAAAUCAGAAAUGUGCCAAGAGUGCUUGGGAAACAGCCAACAAGUGUCCCAGCCAGCAGGGGCAAAGCAGAGUCGGGGGAGACUCCCUGUCAAAUGCAAGGUGUCCAGGUGAGACAUCCCAAGAGGCAAGAAGAUGAAUUUUUGUCCAGAGUCAUGAACGGGAGCCGGAGAGCUCUGAGAAGAGCAGAAUACGGACCCCUAGGGGACAGCCAACUGCACUGCUUCUUGGAGGUCCUGGAGUGUGGUUCUUGGGUAGGGAUGCGGUUCAUUUAAAACAAGGCCCAGCCAACAGCCUUCGGUAGCUUCGACCCACUUUCUUGGAAUUAGAGGAGAAAUGAUCCAGCCUCUGAAGGGGCCAGCUCAGUAUUCCAGCUCCUACCACUUCAUGGAGGCUGAAGGCUAUUCUACAGAGUGGGAAAUGCAAGGAGCUUUCUGGUGAUGUUUGGGCAUCUGUAGGCAAGACCCUCACCAGUGGGCUCCUUCCCCAGCCACCUUCCCUCCACAGUCUCUGGGAUCUUCCCACUGAAUUCCUAACUUGUGUGUCCAGCUGCUCACGGGCUAUGUCCACCAGGAGGUCCAGCAGGCAUCUCAAACCCAGCAUGUCCACAGCCACGCUGACCUCCACCCACCUACAAGCCUGUCUGGCUGCAACCUUCUCUAUAACAAGCCAGUGGCAAAGCCAUCCUUCCAGCUCCUCAGGGCUGUCAAAAGUCUAAAGACCUUAAAUGGCUUUUAUUUGUGGUUCCAGAAGCAGAUAACAACUUGUUUUAUAAAACAGAAUGAGUGUUCCAAAAAGCUGACCAUGGAGACUGAUUUUAUGGACAGGAAAAGGCUGAGGAGAGCAGAAACAGGGAAUGAAACUUGAACCUGGGAGGUGGAGGUUGCAGUGAGCUGAGAUCACACCGUUGCACUCCAGCCUGGCAGCAAGAGUGAAACUCAUCUCAACAACAACAAAAAAAAGUCCGCUGCUCCUACCACCUCUGUGGCUCCACCUGGGCCCAAGCCUACAUCUUCUCUUGUUUGGUUGCAACAGAAGCCAUCCGCUCCCUUCCUGACCUUUCCCCGUCUAUUCACCCAGUGGCCAGAGUGA
rnacentral:lncRNA from 1 species